AUGACUGGUAACUAGGUGCUGGGAGCCAGUCAGGUUAAUAUGACUGGUAACUAGGUGGUGGGAGCCAGUCAGGUUAAUAUGACUGGUAACUAGGUAGAUGGAGCCAGUCAGGUUAAUAUGACUGGUAACUAGGUAGAUGGAGCCAGUCAGG